ensembl:lncRNA
AUUCAUUCCGUACUUUCGCAAGUUAGGGACAGAACGUGGAGCAUAUAUUUUAACACUGUUAGCACAGCUUUAGCGCAAACCCACAAGCCCGAAUAUUUAGCUGCCAGGACAGAUUAAAAAAUAUAUUCUGAAUAAGUGAAUCUCUCCUAAUGGAUAUUUCUGGAGGAUCCUCAACAUUUACGCAGCUUUUACGAGGUUUAACGGAUCUGGAACACCAUGAGGGGGAUUCUCAGUCUCAAAACCCCGGCAGCCAAUCGCCAUCAUCAUAUUUUCGCCCGACAUACAGCCAAGAAUGAUAAAGGAUUCGUUAUGGACAACUGACACAUCGGGUGACUUGGAUGCAAUUCUCCCGUUCUGUACGAAAAAAAAUUCAAACACACCGCGAAUCCCAGGAACCUCCACCCCCUCACGACAUAUUCCAGACCCCAACAAGCAACGCAAAACUGUGGCCCUAGUGCAUUAUUCAGAAUCCACCCCUCCAGAAAAGUACUACUGGGCAGGGAACUUGCGGCUUCACGAGCCAGCGCUCCAUGGACACGACUGCCAGGAGACCGGCCCUGCAGAAUCGGGAACACGAGAUGAAAAAAGUCACACCCCCCCGUUUCUGCGAUUCGUCAGAACAGCCAGCGCCAAAAAAAGCUGAGACUCCUCCCCGGCGAAAAACGGCACAGAAGGACACAUACAUCUAGAGCUGGGGGAUUCCGGCGCACCGAACAUUCCUAAUGUGACAACCAAAGCGGCGGAUAGCCCGGUUUUUAAUGACAUUUCAGAUGUUGACGACCAGUUAUUCUGUGAUGCGGCCAACCUUCUUGACCCCGUCAAUUCUAUGGCAUCAGGAUCUGCAAUAGAACAAGCAAGGUUUUUCACAUUAUUUUCCAGGGCUUUGAAAUCGAGGAACGUUUUGCUAUACAAACGACUGGGGGUUUUAAUUGAGAGACAGUACUGAGACAAUAUGUUAUUCUGGCAUAGAACAAUUCCACGCAUGUUAAACAGCAAACCGUAAAAAAAAAACGCAAAUACAGGCGCUAAAAUCAUAUAUGUAACACGUAUCAUUCCAGAAAUACCGCAAAACGCACAUCCUUAAUUAUCCAAAUGGCAGAACCACAGGAACAAGUUGAGACAGUUGAAAGCCUCUUAGCACAGAUACCGCCAGAACUCCUAGAAAUUAUUAAACGUAUGAACGAGUCAGGGACGCCCGAUGAAAGCAUAUUAUCCCAGAUUCCAGCCGAAGCCUUCAUAACCUUAAUUAAUCGGAUGAACGAGAGUCAGACAUUUUCGGCCCCCGCCACCCCAACAGCGAUAGCCCAACCAUUAACGCCCAUGUCCGUAGAGUCUGAAACACCACAUGAUGUUUUUGGGGAAUUGGAAAAUUGUCUAAUAAAUCUGGAGGGAGAUGGUAUUGAUAGAUGGUCUGGGUUGUGUACCGGAAUAAAUUCAACAAUACAGAGAUUCGACAGUUUUUCAAUUUCCUAUGGGUGAAUCAGAAUCUUGACCAUGCUGUGUUUUACGUAAUGAUAAUUGACACUCUGAACGAUCUGUUAGACACGGCAAGAGAUUAUGGCGAACCACGUGAUAUCUUACAGUUGGAGAUUUGUGGAGAUGCAUAACACAGUAUCUCUUAUUUUACCCAAUGGCGAAGCAGAUCUUGAACAAUUUAUUGCGCUGCUAGAACGCCUUGUUCAGUCAAAUUUAGCCGUCAUAGCAGAUCAGACCCUCGAGCUUGUAGUGCAAAUAAUACGUCAACCCCAGGGUGGUGGUGGGCAGAGAAGGAAGUUUGAGAGCCUAAUGCAGUCAGAAAUCAUAAGAAAUAAAAGGGCCUACCUCAUAAACGUUCACAAUCCAGGUAAUAAGCUAUGUUUUGCAAUAGGCCUAGCGCAUUUACUUAACCCUGGAUGUACUGAUCUGACGGCAUUGCAAAAGGCUAGAGAGCUCCAAACGGCCGUGGGUCUCGGUAUACAGGAUGCUGUGGCUUUCUCUGACAUAGUCAAAUUUGAAAACUUUCUGAAUAUCAAGAUUGUGGUUUUGUACCACAGUAGAGCUAAUGCAGCUCUCUUGAAGGUCCAAAACAACCCCCAACCGCAUCCUCAGAUUCUGUACUUUUAUGUGCAAAACGAACAUUACUACGCCGUUACCAACAUCACUGCUUUUUUAGACGCCCCAUAUGUGUCCAUCAUGCCAUACCGGCUACACCCGAAAGGGGGGGCACUGGUGCCAUUAUAACUGUUCUGUAUGUCAGGAUGCAGAGUGCCCAAUGCAACCCUUAAAUUUGACACCCUGUGAGGAUUGCCACCGCACAUGUCGUUCGACCUACUGUUACAAAAAACACAAAAUUGAAACAUGGCACCCCAAGGCAUGUAAAUCUGUAAGCAUUUGUGACAUUAACAAGGAAUGCCCAAAAUGGCUUUGCAAUUACAACCUUAAAAUAGAUAGCCCUAAACCGCAUGUGUGUGGAAUCAUACAUUGUCCAAUCUGUAAAGGGCCUUUGAAAAGCAGAGACGCUGAAGUGGUUCAAGAAGUGCCACACGAGUGUUAUAUUCAGCCCUUGGCUGAAGAUGAACAUUCAGAGAAAUAUGUGUUCCAUGAUUUUGAGACAAAUCAGCAAUCGGAGGAUCAUUUGCCUAUUUUUGUAUCUACCAUGACAUUCAAGGGGGAAACGUGGUCUGCAGAAGGAUCCAAUUGUGCACUACUCUUUCUAAAACAUUUUAGAAAGCCACAGUACAGACACUUCACGUUUAUAGCCCACAAUGCUAGAGCCCACGACUCUUACCUUCUUCUGAACCCCUUGAUACAGCAAGGCGUGGCACCCAGUGUCAUAGCUCAAGGUAGUAAAAUCUUGUGUUUUGUAGACCCAGCCUUCAACCAGAGAUACAUUGACAGUUUAAGCUUCUUACCCA